rnacentral:tRNA from 1 species
AAGACUUUAAGUUAAGCUAAACUAAAGGCCUUCAAAGCCUUAAAUGAUAUCAUA